rnacentral:rRNA from 1 species
GAUGAACGCUGGCGGCGUGCCUAAUACAUGCAAGUCGAGCGAAUGGAUUAAGAGCUUGCUCUUAUGAAGUUAGCGGCGGACGGGUGAGUAACACGUGGGUAACCUGCCCAUAAGACUGGGAUAACUCCGGGAAACCGGGGCUAAUACCGGAUAACAUUUUGAACCGCAUGGUUCGAAAUUGAAAGGCGGCUUCGGCUGUCACUUAUGGAUGGACCCGCGUCGCAUUAGCUAGUUGGUGAGGUAACGGCUCACCAAGGCAACGAUGCGUAGCCGACCUGGGAGGGUGAUCGGCCACACUGGGACUGAGACACGGCCCAGACUCCGACGGGAGGCAGCAGUAGGGAAUCUUCCGCAAUGGACGAAAGUCUGACGGAGCAACGCCGCGUGAGUGAUGAAGGCUUUCGGGUCGUAAAACUCUGCUGUUAGGGAAGAACAAGUGCUAGUUGAAUAAGCUGGCACUUUGACGGUACCUAACCAGAAAGCCACGGCUAACUACGUGCCAGCCGCCGCCGUAA